rnacentral:tRNA from 1 species
GCUUCAGUGGCUCAGUUGGUUAGAGCGCCAGUCUCAUAUAGGCUAUGAUCCUUGAUAAAGGAGUGAUCUGGAGGCCCCCAGUUCGAUCCUGGGCUGGAGCA